AAUACCAAAAUCAUACAAUGACAAACGAACGAUAAUAGUUGGAAGAGACCACCUCAGAAUUGUCAUUGAAAAAAAGGGUUUGUUUCAUUAACGUGGUUGACUUUUCACGAGUUGGGGCAGGCAACGCAAACCUUCCCGUUGUAGCAGUCGUUUAGGCCAAUGAAUCCUUUAGUUUUCUUUUUAAUUAUCAUUACUUUUUCAAAAACAAUUCCGAUUUGAUUGCUACUUUUUUUCUUCCUUCCUUUCUGUACUUUGCCUCAACUUUCGCACCCACCAAACGCUGUUCCUUCUUCUUCAAUCAGACACAACAAAGUUGGAUCCUUUCCUUCAUUUGAACUGAGAAAGAGCAUCCACAAUGCCCAACUGGGAACUCAAGAACUGUUGUGACAAAGAUCAGAAGAUCUUCAUUGCUUGUGUUGCUGCCUUCACCGUUGUUAUCUUCGUGCUAUGGAGGACCUUUCUACUUACACCUUUCAAGCUCAUCACUGUGUUUUUGCACGAAGCAAGUCAUGCAAUUGCUUGCAUUCUCACUUGUGGCAAGGUUGAGGGAAUCCAGGUUCAUGCAAAUGAGGGUGGAGUAACACAGACUAGAGGUGGCGCAUACUGGAUCAUCUUGCCUGCUGGAUAUCUUGGUUCAUCAUUUUGGGGGAUGGCUCUGAUACUUGCUUCCACAAAUCUUCUCACUGCGAGAAUUGCUGCUGGUUGCUUUAUUGCUGCUCUUGUUAUUGUGCUCUUUGUUGCUAAAAAUUGGACACUACGAGGACUCUGCAUUGGAUUCAUUAUCUUUAUUGCUGUAAUUUGGGUACUGCAAGAGAAAACUACUGUUCAUAUCCUUCGUUAUGUCAUUCUCUUUAUCGGUGUGAUGAACAGUUUGUUUUCAGUUUACGAUAUUUAUGACGAUUUAAUAUCUCGAAGAGUUCAUUCGAGUGAUGCUGAGAAGUUUGCAGAAGUUUGCCCAUGCCCCUGUAAUGGAUUUGGAUGGGGAGUUAUUUGGGGGAUGAUAUCAUUUGCAUUUCUAUGUGCAUCUUUGUACCUUGGACUUGUCAUAUUAUCAUGAGGUUGAGAAAUAUGUAACCAAGCUUGGUAUACUGAAUUUAUCUGUGGAUAUUUCCCCAUGCAUGUGGAUUCAUUCUUUGCAGCCUGAAUAUUUCAGUUGAAGUAUUUCAAGCUGUCUGUUGUCUUCAUUGGUACUUUAGAAGCUCUUGGUAUUAUUAUUCUACUUUUUUUUUAUCGUAUAAUUUGGCUCUUCAACUAAACAUAACUGAAAGAGAUAGAGGAUUUUCCAACACUACUUUAUAAUUGAAAGGAUAUAAUCAUUCCCAUAAAAGGUGUAGAAAAUUGGAAAUAUUUAGUAAGUAAAACAAAUAUAUAAUAUAACCACUAAUGAACCAUUUUUCUAAAAAAGCUUAGCCUUCGAUUGCAUGCCUUUUGCCGUAAUUUGCGAAGCAAGAUAAAGUUUCUAACCUUUCUCCAGAUCUGAUGUGCAAACUCGCAACGAACCAUUCUUGUUGCAAAAGGCAUUGUAGCAACCAAUUGCA